CAAGUGGCCAGACGGGCCGCAGACUCUGGAUGUCACCAGGACAGGGUGCUUGUGGAAUUGACAGAAGUCGUCUCUCUUUCGGAUAGUGCGUUAUCUCCAUUUGAUGCUGACCCAUGGGAUCCCCCAGAGCCCUUUACUGCAAAUGAGGGCUCCCCCAAAAUGCCCCUGAUGCUCAGUGUGUUCCCCACUGCGAUGCCCCUACCAGGAGAAGACCAGGCAGAGUCCGCACAAAGAACCCCAGGCUGGCAGUCCCGUUCCUCAACGCGGAGUGAGCAGUUUGUACCAGGCACGUGUUUGGUUGUGUUUUGUCUCCAUUGCCCGCGAGUUUGGUCUGAAUGUCUGGGGGGAGCCAGAUACCAGGGAGGAAUUCGAUGCCAGAGCGGAUUUGCCGUGAGGCUAAUGAGGCCAGGCUGACGUCUUCCAAGGCCCAGAGAUGCGACCUCAGAUUGCUGGAGGAGUUCCAUGAAGGUCACAUAACCAGCAAGCAGUGGAGGCAAGCACGGAAGGCAGGCAGGCUGGCUACAGAGACCAAGCUCGCAACCACGGCACUCAAGCUGCCUCUGCAAAUACAGUCUUCCAGGCAUCUCGACAAUAAUCACAGAGCCCUGUUCUCACUGCAGAAUGUGCUGCACUCCAGGGUGAGAACCGGCUGUCAUAUCAGAUCGUGACGCCUCAGCCAGCUCUUCAGGAUGUGUCAAAGGCCUUCCCCUCCUAUGGUCUCUUGCAGGGUGUCCCCCGGCCACGUGUGCUUCACGUUGCUGAAGUCACAGGAUGUUCCCACAUCUUGCUUACACUUUGCUUUGAAUAUGGUUAUGAAGCCUGGGUCUUAAAAAAUGAGAGAAAUGGCAUAGUCUGGGCUAUAAGUCUAUGUUUUUUGUUUUCAGUGCUAUGCAAAGUUGUCAUCUCCAAAUCUUGCACAAAAAGCUCAGAUUAUAAGAUCAUGAAAAAAAGAGAAAGAAAGAAAGAAAGAAAGAAAGAAAGAAAGAAAGAAAGAAAGAAAGAAAGAGGAAAGAGACAUUCUGCACCUGCAAACAUCUGUCUAAAUUAAGAGGCAGGAAAUGACUUAUCCUUCUGAGUGGUGCCUGUGUCCCAAGUAUAUUUUCAAUAAAUGUAGUCAA